UUUUGAAAGUAAUAAAUCAAAACAAAGAAGAAUUUGACAAACAGUUGGUCGAAAUCCAACAGAAAAUACUCGAAGAGUACAAUAAAAUGUCGACUAAGAAUCCUGCCAAAGAUGUCA